rnacentral:rRNA from 1 species
GCUGGCGGCGUGGAUAAGACAUGCAAGUCGAACGAGACUUUCCGUUGUAGCAAUACGAUGGAAAGUUUAGUGGCGAACGGGUGCUUAACACGUGGGCAACCUGCCAUGAAGUGGGGGAUAGCUCGCCGAAAGGCGAAUUAAUACCGCAUGUGAUUAGAGAGGACAUCCUUUCGAAAUUAAAGUCGGGGCAACCUGACGCUUCUUGUGGGGCCCGCGGCCUAUCAGCUAGUUGGUGAGGUAACGGCUCACCAAGGCUUUGACGGGUAGCUGGUCUGAGAGGACGACCAGCCACACUGGGACUGAGACGCGGCCCAGACACCUACGGGUGGCAGCAGUCGAGAAUUUUUGACAAUGGGGGAAACCCUGAUCGAGCGACGCCGCGUGGAGGAUGAAGGUCUUCGGAUUGUAAACUCCUGUCAUUUGGGAACAAGGUGCACACGUUAACUGCGUGUGUAUUGAUAGUACCAGAAGAGGAAGGGACGGCUAACUCUGUGCCAGCAGCCGCGGUAAUACAGAGGUCUCAAGCGUUGUUCGGAUUCAUUGGGCGUAAAGGGUGCGUAGGCGGCGCGGUAAGUCNGGUGUGAAAUCUCGGAGCUUAACUCCGAAACUGCAUUCGAUACUG